rnacentral:rRNA from 1 species
GACGAACCGUGCGAACGUUGUUCGGAAUCACUGGGCUUAAAGGGCGCGUAGGCGGACAGUCAAGUCAGGGGUGAAAUCCCACGGCUCAACCGUGGAAGUGCCUUUGAUACUGACAGUCUCGAGGGAGGUAGGGGCGUGCGGAACUUCCGGUGGAGCGGUGAAAUGCGUAGAUAUCGGAAGGAACGCCGGUGGCGAAAGCGGCGCGCUGGACCUCUUCUGACGCUGAGGCGCGAAAGCUAGGGGAGCAAACGGGG